UGUACACGCUGUGACUAGCAUAUCAAUAAGCGGAGGAAAAGAAACUAACAAGGAUUCCCCUAGUAACGGCGAGUGAAGCGGGAAGAGCUCAAAUUUGAAAUCUUAAAGGGUUUCCCUUUACGAAUUGUAGUUUAAAGAAGUGUUUUCUGUUGAGGUUUUGGUAAAAGUUCUUUGGAAUAGGACAUCAUAGAGGGUGAGAAUCCCGUAUUUGACCUUUACUUUCAACUUUGUGAUACACUUUCAAAGAGUCGGAUUGUUUGGGAAUGCAGUCCAAAAUGGGUGGUAAAUUUCAUCUAAAGCUAAAUAUUGGCGAGAGACCGAUAGCGAACAAGUACCGUGAGGGAAAGAUGAAAAGAACUUUGAAAAGAGAGUUAAACAGUACGUGAAAUUGUCAAAAGGGAGCGUUUGACACCAGUGUUGUUUUUCUGAAAAUCGAUUAAAGAACUGUUUAUGCUAAUGUUGUUUAGACUUUAUCAGCUAAUCUGCUUAGUUUUGAGCUUUUCUUUAAUGCACUUUUCAGUUAACAAGUCAACAUCAAUUUCUUUUGCUGUAAAAAAGCUUGAGGAAGGUGGCUUGAGAUUCGUCUUAAGUGUUUAUAGCCUCUUGCCUAUGCAGUCGGAGAGAUUGAGGUCUGCAGCGUAGAUCCUUCGGGGCUAAAUGCAUUUGUGCUAAGUUAUAGCAUUUUAUAGACAACUUGUUGACUAUGAUUUGUCUUGUAGCUUACUCGCUUAUGUUAUUUUACCUACGCUUAGGAUGUUGAUAUGCAUGACUGAUAU
rnacentral:rRNA from 1 species